AUCUAUGGUAGUGCACAAAAGUGUUUAUUUGAUGUUCUUUUAAAGGUUAAAAGUUGUGGUGUAAAUGUUUACUAAUUAUUUGUUUGAUAAUAAUCAUUUUGUUGGGAAUUUAUUAAAAAAUUAAAAAAACAAAUUUGGAGUAGAAAUGUCACACUACUAGCAAAAUUUUAUUUAUAAGCUUUGCCGGGAACCUGACCCGGUUCACCUGAUGGAAGGCAGCAUGUGAACACAAGCCUGGCUGACCUGUUCCCUCGCAUGUCGGAGAGCACCACCUCGUCCAGGUAUAUGCGAGGUGGGGGCAGGUCCCUAUCUGCCUCGGGGGCGGUCUGGAAGCUGAGUGACUGGUAGCUGAGUGUGGCAGUCACGCUGGGACUACGCAGAGGGUCCAUCGAGCCGUAUUCUGCCGCGGCCAGGGCUCCCAGCACAUGGCCACCACUCACAGUGUCCAUCAGUCUGCAACCAGAUAUGUGUACCAGCAGUGCUGUGCGUUAUGAGUGUCUAUUUCCAAUAGCAAAACAAAGUUAGUACUAUCUAAAAAAAAUUACAUGAUUUAAAAACUUGUGUAGGUAUUUAUUAAGGCCUCAUAGAUAUAAACCUUUUUUAAGCAGAAUAAUUUGACUUACCAUGAAGAACAACCACUAUUAAAUACACUAUUACUAUAAAGUCUAGCAAAAAUCAUAUAAACAAAAUUUAUUAUUCUGUUGUUUAUAAAAAGUUAUGUUCAUAAAAAUUAUUUUACUCAUGUGCAGGAAAAGAAACAAUGGUAAAGUAUUCUAUCACAAUUAUUCUCCUCUUUGUGUUACAUUUAAUGCAGAUAUAUUGUAGAGAAUAAGUCUUGAUGAGUUUUAUUUAAUUAAUUUAUUUAUCAGUGGUAAGAAUGACUAAAACUCUUAUUAUUAAUCUAAAUACCACAAAAGAAUUAACAAAAUUCCCUAUCAUGCAGGGUGAUAAAAAUGCAAAUUUUCUUAAAAACAAGCUACCUGGCACCAGGGAAAACUAAACACCAAAAUAUUAACAAUUUUAUCAUUACAAAACAACUCUCCAUCAUAACUAGAUUGUUUCGUGAAAAUAAGCAAAUAAGAAAAUUCAUUACAAUGAUUAAAUUAAUAAAACUUUAAAAUAAUACUAAAGUUGCUAUAUCAACUGCAAUCAUGCAACUACCUACAAACUUGUUCGUAAUUGUAUAUCGUUAAAAAAAAUUAUUUGCAUUUUUCGUGGAAUUUUACUCCACUAGUUGACUAGCUUCAGGCAAAAUCAAAGUUAAUUCAACUUGCGCUAACGGUAAUAAUUCCUUAAGUCUGUUUUGAUGUUUUUACCAAUAUACUCUUGCACCUUGGCAAAGUACUUGCAAUUUUAAAUUCUCAAAUCAUGUAAAACUUGCUGGAGUGAUGAAACCAAUACAAAAGUAAGUUAAAAUAGA